UNGGAGAGGAAAGUGGAAUUCCUAGUGUAGCGGUGAAAUGCGUAGAUAUUAGGAAGAACACCAGUGGCGAAGGCGACUUUCUGGACGAAAACUGACGCUGAGGCGCGAAAGCCAGGGGAGCGAACGGGAUUAGAUACCCCGGUAGUCCUGGCCGUAAACGAUGGGUACUAGGUGUAGGAGGUAUCGACCCCUUCUGUGCCGGAGUUAACGCAAUAAGUACCCCGCCUGGGGAGUACGACCGCAAGGUUGAAACUCAAAGGAAUUGACGGGGGCCCGCACAAGCGGUGGAGUAUGUGGUUUAAUUCGACGCAACGCGAAGAACCUUACCAGGUCUUGACAUUGAUGGACAGAACCAGAGAUGGUUCCUCUUCUUCGGAAGCCAGAAAACAGGUAGUGCACGGUUGUCGUCAGCUCGUGUCGUGAGAUGUUGGGUUAANNNNNNCAACGAGCGCAACCCCUAUCUUAUGUUGCCAGCACUUUGGGUGGGACUCAUGAGAGACUGCCGCAGACAAUGCGGAGGAAGGCGGGGAUGACGUCAAAUCAUCAUGCCCCUUAUGACCUGGGCUACACACGUACUACAAUGGGAGUUAAUAGACGGAAGCGAGAUCGCGAGAUGGAGCAAACCCGAGAAACACUCUCUCAGUUCGGAUCGUAGGCUGCAACUCGCCUACGUGAAGUCGGAAUCGCUAGUAAUCGCAGGUCAGCAUACUGCGGUGAAUACGUUCCCGGGCCUUGU
rnacentral:rRNA from 1 species